AGUUAAGAGGUCUGAGGUGGGUGCUAGGUUCUUACUCUCUGAUGAAAAAUACGGCUUGGAGCAGGGGACUUUGGACUUUCCCACCCAGAGCCCUUCUGGGGAAAUUCUUUGGGAGAUGGCCAAGCCCCCGUCUUCCCUGCAGAUGUUUCACCACUCCUCCGUGAAGAAGAGGAAGAAGUCAAAAUCACAUGCGGAAAUUUCCCAGGUGCCACAGAUGAUGUGGCCAGAAGGAUGACCUCCUCUCGGGUCUCUGAAAAUCAAGGCACCGUUCUAAGUAUACAUGUAUUAACCAAUUAAAAACAUGCAUGAGGAGGCCAGCCCAGUGGCGUAGUGGCCACGCAUUUGACUUAUACUUGAACCUAGACAUUUUUCACUGCAGAGAAACUAUUUCAUUUAUUUCCUACUCCUCACCCCUGAAGAACCACUGAUGCUCCUCUGCACAUACCAGGUGCUUCGCAAGGGCUGAAUUGGCUAUGUCCUCAUAGGAAGGAAGGAUUCCUUGCUUUCCUGGGCAGUGUCAGUGAGUGGCUGGGCUUGACCACCGGCCCAGCAGCAACUCUGCCUGUGUGAGCCUUGCCUUGGCUUACAGAAUAUUCAGCCUGCAUUGCAGUCACCUGGUC
rnacentral:lncRNA from 1 species